rnacentral:rRNA from 1 species
AUGACAAAGCCCAAUACCAGCAGCCUGCCGAGCUUCUUCUGCAUAGCUUGUGCAGCUGUUGUCAUCCUAGGCAGAACCUGCAGUUGCUUGCAGUUCACUUACCCCAACUUCAACGCAAGCAACAGGGAUGAUUUCAGCUUCAGCCCUGGCUCAGGAAUCUCCAACAACUCCCUGCAGAUCACGCCGAACGCCGGCAACAUGACCCACCGGUCGGGGAGAGUGGUGUACGCCAAGGAGACCCUCAAGCUGUGGAACAGCAAGCGCACGGCGCUCAACUCCUUCAGGACAGAUUUGAUGCUCAACAUCCUCCCACAGAACGGGACUGGAGAAGGUAUGGCCUUCGUGCUCACCAAUAAUCCGUCGUUGCCCAGCAACAGCAGCGGUCAGUGGCUGGGUGUGUGCAACAACCAGACAGACGGCGUGAAGACGAACCGAGUAGUGGCCGUGGAAUUUGACACGAGGAAGAGCUACAAGGAUGACCUUGACGGCAACCAUGUCGGCAUCGACAUCAACAGCAUCAAAUCUCUUCGGCAAUACCCGCUUAAUAAUCUCUCCAUCUUCCUCUCAACUGGGUCAGAUGUAUGGGUCAGUAUCAGGUACCACGGCACAUUACAGUUACUUCGAGUAUUUCUAGUCCAGUACAGCAUCCGUGGACAGCAUCUUUUCAAAGGAGAUAUAUACAUUGAUUUGUCACAGUAUCUAGUGGACGACAUAUAUCUGGUGUUCACAGGUUCCACAGGCGACGCCACACAACUGAACCAGAUAAAGUCAUGGAACUUCACCACAGUAGACAUCGAUGUCAAAGUUAGAAGAGGGCAUUGGAGAAAGGUGCUUUUGGCUCUGGUUACAUUGCUUGUGUUCUCUAUAUGUUUGUUUGCUGGGCUGUUCAUGUGGAGAAGGCUGACGCGGCGGAGAAGGCUCGCCUACCGCAACCUGGAGAAGAUGAUCGACGCACAUGGUCCGGUCAAAUUUAAGCUCAGGGAGCUCAGGCGUGCGACUGCCAACUUCAGUCCUACCCGCAAGCUCGGCAGAGGAGGCUUUGGCACUGUUUACCUUGGAUACGUCGAUGGGAUAAACUUGGAGGGGGCCGUCAAGCGGGUGUCGACGGACAAGCAGGAAGACACCAACCGGGGAGAGAAGGAGUUCGUGGCGGAGGUGAACACGAUCAGCAAGCUGUCACACCGGAACCUCGUGAAGCUGAUCGGCUGGUGCCACAAGAAGGGCGAGCUGCUGCUUGUCUACGAGUACUUCCCCAUGGGAAGCCUUGACAAGCUCCUUUACGCCAGAGAAAGGACCGCGUCGUCCUCGUCCAUGUCGGCGUCAACGCACACCCCGGAGCUCACAUGGGAGCGGCGGUACAAGAUCAUCCGCGGCGUGGGUCGGCGCUGGACUACCUGCACCACGGGAGCAGCAAGCGGAUCCUGCACAGGGACGUCAAGGCCAGCAACGUGA